GCCUGUAUAGCUCUGUUGGUUGGAGCGUGAUGCUGAAAAUGCCAAGGUUGUGGGUUCGAUCUCUGCAUGGGACA